GAAGGGGGACGCAUCUCUGCCCUUAUUAGUCUCUCCCCGUGUGACCCUCCCACUCCGCGAGGACAGAGGACUCUGCAAGAAGCUGAAUGCCCUGAACACAGUCAAAAAAGCAUUGCAAAGACUUUGAGAACAAAAUUGUGAGAUAACCCACUGUACAAGACCUACACGAACUUCUGAGUGGCUCAGCCAAGGGGCAGACACAAAGAGCACAGCAAAACUUUGCUACUAACCCAACAUUGCAUGCAAGAGAUGAGCCAGAACUUUGCCUGUGCGAACAAA